CGGUAUUCAAGUUAAUACGCAUUACAUUUUGGAUGAAUUUAUGUUAACAGCACGCCAGGUUUCCAUGAAGUUUCACAGACCCAGCUCCAAGUCCUCCAGUUCCUGGAGCAGAGCACUUUCCUUCUGAAUCUUCUCCAGCUGAUUUUUCUCUAGCUGCUUGCCAGCAGCUGCCUGCUCUUUCAGUUGCUCAAUUGCCUUUAGUUUCUUUUUUAAAUUCUUUAUUUUCUUGUCAAUUUCAGGAUCUCCUGAUGUAACGACAGGAACAGCACUUCGUGGUGUAUUCUGUGAUGCUGAGGACUGUGUGGAUUCCUGACUACAAUCAGCUUUGGCCUCCUGUUUAGCAGCUUUCUUUGCUUCAUGUUUCUUUUGAUUUUUCAGAGCUGUUUUAGACAGUGGCUUUUCACUGCUUCCUGACUGUGGUUUCAUAUUCUGAGGUGGUUCGUCCUCAUGAAGCUUGGAACUUGUUACAGGUUUGUUUCUCAAGGCCGGAGGUCUAUACGCUUGCGCAGGUUUGGGCUCAGCACUCGGCAGUUCACUCGGGACUGCCUGGUAUUUCACUGCUUUCACUGGGAACACUCCAUCCAAAAAUGGCUGCCAGGAAACUUGCCACAUUUCCUCAUUUGAUGGAACUUCAUAGUUGUGUAAAACAGAGCCAGUGUAGUGCCAUAUCUUAUACCCAUUACUGACUCGCAGCCGGGGAGCGCAUGUAGCUGUUACAAUAUGCUCCCCAUCAGGGCACCAGGCAAAAUAGGUGGAAUCGGAGGCUACUGGUUUGGAAAUGAGUUUGUAGUUUUUAACAUCCCAUACUUCCAUCUGUCCCCUG
rnacentral:lncRNA from 1 species